rnacentral:tRNA from 1 species
GCAUCGGUAGCUCAAUGGAUAGAGCAUCGGUCUUCGGAACCGAGAGUUGGGGGUUCGAGUCCUCUCCGAUGCGCCA